UGUGAGGGCAUCUGGGGAUGCAGCUGCUUUGGCGGUGAAGCGAGAAAUGCCGCGUGUAGCAAUAACAACGCCCGUGGUGCUUGCGGCUCAAGCUCCUGACACACGGACAGCGAGCGAGGUGGGAUUUAGGAGCCGCUCUAACAUCCCACCAAGAACUGCUUGUCCGCCAAGAGAGCACCUUGGAAAGUGUGGGAGUGGCUGGGUGCUGCUGCAGAUGCUGCCGUGUUGAUGAGACAACGAGGGAGGCUCCAAGUGAGGUCCAUCCAGCAGUGAGUUCCUCUCCUCCCACCCCCCGGCUUAGACACAGCACUCGUGCUGCAGCCACCCUGCCAGAACCCCGGGUGAGACGGGACCCUGGGCAAACACCCUCCUACAUCUUUCUUCCCUGCUGCCACAAGCAAUCUGUCACUCCUCUCCCCGAACCACCCUCCACCUACGUACAAAGCCAUAACUGUAAGGAACGCCCUCUUCCCUCCUCCUUUUCCUCCCCACGAGCCUGUUCUCCGUGGGUGAAAAAUGCUGUCUUCCCAGAGAUCUGGUCACCCCCGACUUUGGCUUUGAGACCCAAGCUGCUUGAUACCUUUUAGGACUACAGCUUGGAAAGCUCUGCUCGCAGGUCUAUUGUGUUAGUUUUUCAAUUGCGUAUAAUUGCACAUGUGCAGGUGGGAAGGGGCUAUUUGCUUCCCACUCGCUUUGAUACGCCUCCCUUCCUAAGAGGACCCGCUUCCUUCCCUUUCUGCUCUCAGCCUCCCACGCAUUUAGCAAUGAGAAAUGCUGCAGAAAACUGACCAGCUACCAACCCGCCCACCUGAGGAGGAGGAGCACCAGCAGCAGCAGCACAUUUCUCUCGCUCUCAGCUUUUUAAACACAGUUAAAAAGAGCUGGAGCGUGGGUGGAAGUAGCUGUAGGGAGUGUGUGUGGGAAUGGGGCUAGAGGAAAGUGCAUUUUUUCUUGGUAGGACAGUUAACUUCUAGUGGACCAAAAAAAUACCCCGAAGAUAUCUCACUGCUGAGGGUGUCUUUGGUUGUAUAAUUAGUUCUUGAGUUUCCCAGGUCUGGAAAGGAUGAAGCAGGGAAUGAAGCAAGUGAUGGCAGGGAAGCUUGCCUUCCAGACUUCAAGAGUCUGCUUAGCAAAUGAUAUCUGUAUUGCAUCUCGUUGUGUCAUCACGUCUGCUGUUCUGCUCUCAAUGUGUGUGCUUGAUUCUGGGAGAGUCAGAGCUGCCUGUAUGUAGGAAGAGAAAAAGGCUUGUGGUUUUCACACCAUGUGGAUCUUUAUUUCAAAAUACUGUCCCUGAUGGACCUCUUGAAAUAGCACUGUCCCAGAAUAUCAGUUAAUUCAAGAUUUACUCUGUGUGCUUCUAUAAGAAAUUAAAAUCAAGCUUAUUUGUGUUAACUGGUUGUUAUUUGAGGUGCUUUGCUUGUAUUACAUGAAAAUAGCAGUGAAACUAGUAAGGAAAACAGAACUUCUAAGACUUGUGGGAUGAAGUGCAAAGUGAUAAUGCUGAAAUCUCUCUGAUAGACUCCAAGAACCAAGAGUCCCCAAGAUCUGUGAGUUUCUGACUUGGUUUGACUUGGCUACCUGAAAUACAGAUCAUACAAUAGAUAAUCCUCCUCAAAGUUGUUCUAACAUGAGUUAGUUGCACACAUUCUUCUCAAGCCAAGACUCUACCCAUACAUUGGUUUUGACUAGAUUUCUCACCAGCAUCAGAAUUUCCAUAUAUGUUACUGAUACAGAAUUUUAUAUCAGGAUGUGGUCUUUAAUGACUCAGAGAUGCAAUAACAGCCAAAUAAUGAAAUUUGACUCUGAAAGUAUUUGGAGAUACCGGAAAAAAAUAUUGUGCAGGACAUGUAAUUUUCUCCUAGUGAGUAGAAGUGGCUUCACUUACUUCAGUGCCUUCCUCCACAGCCUAUCUCCUGUAGCUCUGGAAAUUUUACCUUAGAAUUGGAAGGCAAAUGUAGGCAUAAUUUUUAGGCUCAGAAACAAAAGAAGUUAUGAAUAAGCCUAAUUAACACAAUUGCAUGUGACACAACAGACAGAUCAGCUGAUGGACUUGUGCUAGCAAGAGGCAGAGCCCUAUCAAUGGAGAUGUAACCUUAAUUGAACUAAUUAUCCUGGUGUUUUAAAAGUCUUAUUUAUGAAUGGUGAAUAAU